UACAGAGGGGGCAAGCGUUGUUCGGAAUUACUGGGCGUAAAGGGCGCGUAGGCGGCCUUCUAAGUCGAACGUGAAAUCCCCGGGCUCAACCCAGGAACUGCGUCCGAUACUGGUUGGCUUGAAUCCGGGAGAGGGAUGUGGAAUUCCAGGUGUAGCGGUGAAAUGCGUAGAUAUCUGGAGGAACACCGGUGGCGAAGGCGACAUCCUGGACCGGUAUUGACGCUGAGGCGCGAAAGCCAGGGGAGCAAACGGG
rnacentral:rRNA from 1 species